AUUGAGCUUCGUGCUUUAUCAAAGGCUUUCUACAAGUAUAAGAGAGUUACAGAAUUUCAAAGUCUUACUGCAACAAGGCUUUUCUACGUCUAAUUAGAGACAUAAUCUGACUGUGUGAAACCUGUUGGUCUUGGACAUUCAGCAGAAGGAGGCUAAUCUUCAAAGACUUGAAGAAGGAAUUCUGAACUCUUAAAGAGAAAAUUCAAAUGUUCACUUGAAUAUUUAUGAUUUUUAAUAGAUUGUCAAUUAGAGAUAUUUAUAAAUGAAGUAUAUACUUUUAAAACAUGUAAGUUAUACUAAUUCUGUGUUUAAUUUCAUGUUUCCAUCUGUUGAAUAUUCUGCUGUUCUGUUUGUUUAGAAUUGUUUUUUUCUUAUUCUGUUCUUUACUUCCAGUUGUCAGACUUAAAUGACCAUCCUAAUAAACACUGUUAGCAGUCUGUUAUGGAAAAGGAGAGCUAGAAAACAAAUGUGGCUUCGGAUUUGGACCAGUGAUAAAAAUUUCUCAGUGACUUUUGUGUUCUUAGCCUUGCCUGAUGUCACCUUCUGUAAGCCGGAAGUAUCAGUGUGGUAAACGGUCCUUUCAGUGUGUGGUUAUGGAGGGACUGAAGAAUCCCUAGGACUUCAACUUCAGUUUCAUUGGUUUUCAGUUAAGAUUUUUAGUUGCUGCUCUUUUUGCUAUUUUAUUUUGGUCUAAAGGCCCUGCUUCAGUAAAGGCGAAUGCGUACUGUCCCUUCCCUUAGCUGCCCAGUCAGACAGCCCAUGUGUGUCGUGGGCUGCUCCAGAGGGUUCUUUACUUAGAACCCAUGCUAUGUAUCCAUUUCUUUUGAUUUUGCAUUUCUUUGUCCUGUCUCCAAUUUUAGAAAAUUUUUGUCCAGUUUGAGAAAAAAAUUUGUAUAAAUAUGUAAGCUUCACUUUGAUAAAAUUUGAAUGAAUAUAUGGACUUAUAAUGCCACUUUAAAACAGUAUAUAUAAAAUUUACCCUUUUAAGUGUUUGGUUUUUUUUUUAAGGAUUUUAUUUUAGAAUACAAUCUAUGCAAUCCUCUCUCAACCUGAAUUUCUUUGGCAGUUAUUUUAACAGGUAGAGGAGUUCAAGGCUCGUGAAGCUUCCCCUCUACCUACCCUUCUUUUCAUUUUCAUCUUAUAUAAAUGGACUUUGUGUGACUUGUGCCAACAGAUGACCUUCAUGUCCUAAGCUCAUUUUCUAAAGCUGUGAUUUAAAUAUCCUCCAAUAUUUAAAAUAUUCUUUUAAAAGCUGUUUAGAGAUAGAAUGUGAUUAACUUGGAAGGAGGCAUCUGUGGAGAAGUAAUGCGGGUACCAAACCUCAUUUCUCCUUCGACUCUUCAGUCUUUUAUGAAGUAAGUGCUCUUAAACCCACACCUUACCUGCCAGAGUCUGAAGCGUGUUCUGCCAUGACUUAGUGGUGUAUUUUAAACUGUCUUUAGUAGGCUCACCCCUCUUUUAAAAAUAUCUGGUCAUCCCUUGGAGGGAUAUUGUUGAAAGGUAUAAAGGCUCACUAAUUAUUUUCUUGCCCAAUUUCAACCUUUAUAGACCCAGGGUUUUUUGUUGUUGUUGUUGAUGGUGGUGACUUUUUGUUGGUUUGUUAAGUUGAAUAAAACAGGCUUGAUUGGAGCCUUCUCCAUUUCUUCAUUUUUAGGGAUGUAAGUAUUGUGUGUAGGAGAGGGGAACCUUAAGGUAAACUUGUCUAAAAAGUGAAAUAGUAGUCUUGCUGGUAAAUUAAAAAUAAUUAUUCUUAGUGUUCAUUCAGAGUUUAAGAAAAUGUGAAAGCUUUACACUUUGUCUAUUAUUACUGUAAGUUUAAAAAUCUUUUUGGUAGUGUUACUUCACUGUUCCCUCAGUUAAAAGCUAUUAUUUAAAUUCUGUUAACCAGAGAAAAUCCUUGGUCAUUUCCAGUGAUUGUUGGGUUUUAUUUUGUUUGUUUGUUUGUUUUGUAUUUUUCUUUACUGUGAUUUGUUUCAAGCUUAGGAAAAAAUUGUAUAUUAGAAUGAGUUCUAGGAAACUAAAAGGUUAAUAUUAAAAGUUCUUCUCAAGGCGCCUGGGUGGCUCAGUUGGUG